rnacentral:rRNA from 1 species
GAAUUCGCCCUUGAGUUUGAUCCUGGCUCAGGAUGAACGUUGGCGGUGUGCCUAAUACAUGCAAGUCGAACGGAGUUAGUAGCAAUACUGGCUCAGUGGCGAACGGGUGAGUAACGCGUUGGUGAUCUGCCUUGAAGUGUGGAAUAACGUUUCGAAAGGAACGCUAAUACCGCAUGUGCUCUCGAUUUUCAGAAAGUUGAGAGUAAAGGAUUUAUUCGCUUCAAGAGGAGCCUGCGUCCCAUCAGCUGGUUGGUAGGGUAACGGCCUACCAAGGCUAUGACGGGUAGGGGACCUGAGAGGGUGGCCCCCCACAAUGGAACUGAAACACGGUCCAUACACCUACGGGUGGCAGCAGUAGGGAAUAUUAGAAAUGGACGAAAGUCUGAUCUAGCAACACCGCGUGUGCGAAGAAGGCCUUCGGGUCGUAAAGCACUUUUUGGAAGGAAUAGGAAGGAAUGUACUUCCAGAAUAAGUCUCGGCUAACUACGUGCCAGCAGCCGCGGUAACACGUAGGAGGCAAACGUUAUCCGGAUUUACUGGGCGUAAAGCGCGUGUAGGUGGUACUGUAAGUAGGGCGUGAAAGCUCCUGGCUCAACUGGGAGAGGCCGUUCUAAACUACAGAACUAGAGGAUGGUAGAGGGAGGUGGAAUUCCAGGUGUAGCGGUGGAAUGCGCAGAUAUCUGGAGGAACACCGGUGGCGAAGGCGGCCUCCUGGACCAUUCCUGACACUCAGACGCGAAAGCUAGGGUAGCAAACGGGAUUAGAGACCCCGGUAGUCCUAGCCCUAAACGAUGUAGACUAGGCGUCGGAAGCUUAAUCGCUUUCGGUGUCCAAGCUAACGCGAUAAGUCUACCGCCUGGGGACUACGGCCGCAAGGUUAAAACUCAAAGGAAUUGACGGGUCCCCGCACAAGCAGCGGAGCGUGUGGUUUAAUUCGUUGCUACACGAAGAACCUUACC